UCUGAGGCAUGGAAGCACUUUAACUAUACCCACACAAUGUUUGCAGUCGAAACACAGAAUGUCAGGCUGGGAUUGUGUACUAAUGGAUUUCAACCAUUUGGACAAUCAGGACAGCAAUACUCGUGUUGGCUAAUAAUAAUUACCCCAUAUAACUUGCCGCCUGAUAUAUGUAUGAAGGAGCCGUAUUUAUUUUUAUCGAUAAUAAUACCUGGGCCACAGAAUCCCAAGCACCGAUUAGAUGUCUAUUUGCAACUGUUAAUUGCUGAAUUAACUCAGUUAUGGCAUGUGGGGGUGCAGACAUAUGAUGUAUCUAAG
rnacentral:misc_RNA from 1 species